rnacentral:rRNA from 1 species
GUGGCUCACCAAGGCGACGACGGGUAGCCGGCCUGAGAGGGCGACCGGCCACACUGGGACUGAGACACGGCCCAGACUCCUACGGGAGGCAGCAGUGGGGAAUAUUGCACAAUGGGCGAAAGCCUGAUGCAGCGACGCCGCGUGAGGGAUGACGGCCUUCGGGUUGUAAACCUCUUUCAGCAGGGAAGAAGCGAAAGUGACGGUACCUGCAGAAGAAGCGCCGGCUAACUACGUGCCAGCAGCCCGCGGUAAUACGUAGGGCGCAAGCGUUGUCCCGGAAUUAUUGGGCGUAAAGAGCUCGUAGGCGGCUUGUCACGUCGGUUUGUGAAAGCCCGGGGCUUAACCCCGGGUCUGCAGUCGAUACGGGCAGGCUAGAGUUCGGUAGGGGAGAUCGGAAUUCCU